rnacentral:rRNA from 1 species
ACUCCGUGCCAGCAGCUGCCGGUUAAUCCGGUUGGUGCGGAUGCGUAAUCCGGAAUAACGGGCGUACAGGCGCAUGCAGGCCGGCUUGCUCACGCCAGAUGUGAAAGCCGGGGCUCAACCUGGAAUGCAUUUGGAACUGGCAGGCUAGAGUUUUGUAGAGGGGGGUAGAAUUUCAGGUGUAGCGGUGAAAUGGUAGAGAUUGAAGGAAUACCGGUGGCGAAGGCGGCCCCCUGGACAAAGACUGACGCUCAGAUGCGAAAGCGUGGGGAGCAAACAGGAUUAGAUACCCUGGUAGUCACGCCGUAAACGAUGUCUACUUGGAGGUUGGUGUCUUGAACACUGGCUUUCGGAGCUAACGCGUUAAGUAGACCGCCUGGGGAGUACGGUCGCAAGAUUAAAACUCAAAUGAAUUGACGGGGGCCCGCACAAGCGGUGGAGCAUGUGGUUUAAUUCGAUGCAACGCGAAGAACCUUACCUACUCUUGACAUCCAGAGAAUUUAGCAGAGAUGCUUGGGUGCCUUCGGGAACUGUGAGACAGGUGCUGCAUGGCUGUCGUCAGCUCGUGUUGUGAAAUGUUGGGUUAAGUCCCGCAACGAGCGCAACCCUUAUCCUUGUUUGCCAGCACUUCGGGUGGGAACUCCAGGGAGACUGCCGGUGAUAAACCGGAGGAAGGUGGGGACGACGUCAAGUCAUCAUGGCCCUUACGAGUAGGGCUACACACGUGCUACAAUGGCAUAUACAGAGGGCAGCAAGACCGCGAGGUGGAGCGAAUCCCACAAAGUAUGUCGUAGUCCGGAUUGGAGUCUGCAACUCGACUCCAUGAAGUCGGAAUCGCUAGUAAUCGUGGAUCAGAAGGCCACGGUGUAUAGUUUGAUCGGGCCUCAGGAUAAGUCGUAACAAGGUAACCAUGCUAGAGUUUGAUCCUGGCUCAGGAUAAGUCGUAACAAGUAACCAUGCUAGAGUAACG